UACGUAGGGGCAAGCGUUAUCCGGAUUUACUGGGUGUAAAGGGAGCGCAGACGGAACUGCAAGUCUGAUGUGAAAGCCCGGGGCUCAACCGCGGGACUGCAUCGGAUACUGUAGAUCUGGAGUGCCGGAGGGGCAAGCGGAAUUCCUGGUGUAGCGGUGAAAUGCGUAGAUAUCAGGAGGAACACCGGCUGCGAAGGCGGCUUGCUGGACGGCAACUGACGUUGAGGCUCGAAAGCGUGGGGAGCAAACAGGAUUAGAUA
rnacentral:rRNA from 1 species